GUGUGUUAGUCUUUAACAGGAAGAGGUGUGGCAAUGACUGGAAGGGGUGGGGCAAAUGUAAAUUAGGGGGUACCCGAGUUCCGUCAUGCCAAGGGCAGCACAGAUCUAAAAUACACCACUGGCUGUAGGUGCAGGUAUAAGGUGUCCUUCUAGGAAUACCAUGUGCCCAGAAGAAAGUUACCAAAGUAGUUGAUGACAGGCUUUCAGAACAUUAAGCUACAUCUCCAUAAUGCUAUAGUCUAAGG